rnacentral:rRNA from 1 species
CAAGCCACUAUUAGUACUUGCUCAAUUUGCGCAGUGGAGGAUGAAAGUACGUUUCAUGCGCUUGUCCAGUGCCCGAAGGCUUAUGCUUUGCAUAUGGCUAUAAGGGACACUUGGGAUUUACCGGCGGAGGAGGUGUUCAGGUACACUGGGAGGGAUUGGUUUCUUAUUCUUCUAAAUCAUUUGAGUCCUAUGAUGCGUGACCGAAUUAUCUUCAUUUUCUGGAGAGCUUGGCAUUUGAGAAAUGAUUUGAUUUUUGGUAAGGGGAAGGAAUCC